rnacentral:rRNA from 1 species
GACGUAGGGCGCGAGCGUUGUCCGGAUUUAUUGGGCGUAAAGAGCUCGUAGGCGGCUUGUUGCGUCGACUGUGAAAACCCGCGGCUCAACCGCGUGGCUUGCAGUCGAUACGGGCAGGCUCGAGGCCGGUAGGGGGAAGCGGAAUUCCCGGUGUAGUGGUGGAAUGCGUAGAUAUCGGGAGGAACACCAGUGGCGAAGGCGGCUUCCUGGACCGGUUCUGACACUGAGGAGCGAAAGGCGUGGGGAGCGAUCCGG